rnacentral:rRNA from 1 species
GUAGGUGGGCAAGCGUUGUCCGGAAUUAUUGGGGCGUAAAGCGCGCGCAGGGGUGGUUCUUUAAGUCUGAUGUGAAAGCCCCCGGGCUCAACCGGGGAGGGUCAUUGGAAACUGGGGAACUUGAGUGCAGGAGAGGAAAGUGGAAUUCCACGUGUAGCGGUGAAAUGCGUAGAUAUGUGGAGGAACACCAGUGGCGAAGGCGACUUUCUGGCCUGUAACUGACACUGAGGCGCGAAAGCGUGGGGAGCAAACAGGAUUAGAUACCCUGGUAGUCCACGCCGUAAACGAUGAGUGCUAAGUGUUGGGGGGUUUCCGCCCCUCAGUGCUGCAGCUAACGCAUUAAGCACUCCGCCUGGGGAGUACGGUCGCAAGACUG